AUUUUUGUUCGCGUCCUUUCAUGGAAGACCCUUCCCUCUUCCAACCCAUCCUGAUCCCCAGAGAUAUCGCCACUGCCUCCUCCUCCACCACCACCACCACCACCACCUCCUCCUCCUACUACUUUGAUGACACGGAUGCUGACUACAUCAAGCGUUGGUCUUCAAAUUCUAGCAUCAUUCUUCGGCUUCUUUUGAUCACUUCCAUUGGAAUUAUCUCCAUCUGGGCAAACUAUGAAGC
rnacentral:lncRNA from 1 species